AACGAACGCUGGCGGCGCGCCUAAUACAUGCAAGUCGAGCGAGAAGACGUAGCAAUACGUUUGUAAAGCGGCGAACGGGUGAGGAAUACAUGGGUAACCUACCCUCGAGUGGGGAAUAACUAGCCGAAAGGUUAGCUAAUACCGCGUACGCUCCUUGGACUUCGGUUCAGGGAGGAAAGCGAUACCGUGGGUAUCGCGCUCUUGGAUGGGCUCAUGUCCUAUCAGCUUGUUGGUGAGGAACGGCUCACCAAGGCUUCGACGGGUAGCUGGUCUGAGAGGACGAUCAGCCACACUGGCACUGCGACACGGGGCCAGACUCCUACGGGAGGCAGCAGUAAGGAAUAUUGCGCAAUGGGCGAAAGCCUGACGCAGCGACGCCGCGUGGGGGAUGAAGGUCUUCGGAUUGUAAACCCCUUUCGGGAGGGAAGAUGGAACGAGCAAUCGUUCGGACGGUACCUCCAGAAGCAGCCACGGCUAACUUCGUGCCAGCCGCCGCCGU
rnacentral:rRNA from 1 species